CCCCCCCUUCUCCUCCUCCACCUCCUUGCACCGCCGCCCGCGCCCAGUGUAUCUACUCCCUCCACACGUCACUCGCCAGCGCGCCAUGCAAAUCACCGCCGCCGGCGGCUCCCAUUGGCCGCGGCGCGCUGAUUUAAUGGCAGCCCGGGCCCGGCGUAUGGCUGCUGGGCCCCCCGCGCCACCGGCCCCGCGUGCGCCUCCGCUCCGAGCGCACGGCCCUAGGCAGGCAGCGGACAGCUUGUCCUAGGCGCAGCGGCCCGGCUCUCUGGCUCUCUGCACGCAUUGGCACUCCCACCGCUGUCCCUAACCCCCUCCCUAGCUGCACCGCGAUCGCCCCCUCCGAACCCCCCUCCGAGUCCCCCUCAGCGCCUGGCUCCCCCCAGGCACCUGGGACCAGCACAUGCCCAGCGCACGCGGCGCGCCGCCCUGCUAGAAGUUGCGGCCCCGGAGUUGGAAGCCGCCAAGGAAGCCAGCACAGGAAAGAGACUUCGAGCCGCCAAGAGGAGGCAGCGAACCCGGUGUCGGGCCCAGUGGCACCGCUUCAGACCCAGAAAGUGGAGCCUCAACUUGGCCACGACUGCACCUGUUUGCACAGCUCAGCCGAGAGCGCCCGGACUGCGGCAGCGGCGGCGGCGGCGAUCGUCCUGACCAACGGCCCCUUUGGCAAGUGGUUUGUGCACCCGGAGAAACUUUCCACCUGCGAGCUGGACCCGCGCUAAACUCUGCCCGCUCUUCACAUCAUCUCGUUGGGAGCUGUGGGUGAGGUGGUGUUGAAAAGAAUACGUUAUUACUGCCGCUUUGUCGCCAGACCUGGUUCUCUACACAGGAUGCCCCAACAUCUGCUGUCAGCAUGCGCAAGGCUGUGAUUCCAGAGGAGAGACCCAAAGCCUCCUGGGCAUGUGUGAAACGGGUUCAGCGGGAGGCAGGAGGCAGGGUCCCCGAAAGCCAAGCCGAUGAGCGAGAACCCUGUGCUGAGUAAAUGUGGGCUCCUGAAGGUGCAGCGUCAGUGGACGAGACAACUAGCAGUCCCACUGAGUGGUGAAGAUGUCUCAGAGAUGCAUACAAAACACAUACAAGGAGGAGCUGGACGCUAGUCAGAGUCAGACCUGUGAGUUAACUUCCUGUAGCUGAGAGGGGAUUGGAUUGAGAGACCACAUCACCCCAUUGGCUCUGGAGAUCUAAGUCAAAAUCAAAAGCCAACCUCGGGCCCAGCGAUACAUGGAAUAGAAACACGUCCCAGGCUUGUUGGAAUACAGAGGAAAGAUGUGUGCCCAUGGAGGUAAGUUCAAUAUAAUUUGUGGUCCAUGUGAUCUAGAAUGAAAAAUAAUUGUGACAAGAUCAGCUACCUUCCUGAUACCUUUUUUAUGUAGGCAUUGUAAAUCAUAUCCCCAAACUGAAGCAUGACUCCUUUUAUUUCAAUACUGUUUCACCACAUGGAUCUGACAGAGAAUACACUUUGUGGUCUCCACGUCCAACUCAAAAAGCUACAGAAUUCAUUCUCAAAGAAUGAAGCGGGCCACUGGCUGCACUUAGUUAACAUCCGGGUUUUAAAAUGAACCUGCAUGUGUGCAGUGGGUUGCUGCCCGAUGUCCUCUAAAGCCCAUAGGAGGCAACUUCUGUGAUGCCAAGAACUCACCACGACCCUCCACCUGCCACCAGCUUGCCAGCCUGAGCCCUCCUGUGUCUGUUCUCUGGGCCAAGAGUUACAGAGGAACAGGGCCAGUGGCAAACACUAAAUCAUGCUGGGGUGGUGAGGAGAGAAAUACUAUACUUCGUUAUUAUUUGAUGGUCAUCCUUAGAUGAUCAGGAUUCCAGACAGGAGCAUUGCCCCAGCUGGUACAAUGUUGGAAGUGGUUCUUUCUCCUUGUCGGCAAGCAGACCAUGCUGCAUGCAGAAGCCAACGCGGUGAGCUCAUGGUGAUAGGCGUGUGGUCUGAGGCUGAAGGUGAUGCUGCUUCCUUUCAGCCCCUGCCCUUCACCUCGUCUCAUUUUUCCUGGGACUCUCCUAUAUGCCCGAUUUAAAGGGAAUUACCUAUGACUUCAAUUAUUUGUUUCUUAUCAGCUGAUGUUAAACUACAAGGAUUUGCAUUGAAUGGACACAAAGAGCGAGCAAGUCUCGGCACAUGGCCAAAUGAAAGAGUGAUGUCCUGGCGAAUUUAGCCGAAAUAAUUUACUGCCAUAUAAAAGUGGGGAAGUGGAAGGUACAGCCUUUGACCAAUAAAUCCCUGCUGCCCGUGAAACCCUUAUCUGGUCCCCUCCGAUAUAUUCCACACAAGGAAGCCAUCAUCAUUGGCUCUGGUUAGUUAUUUGUAAACCUUGAUCUUCUGCACUCCGUGUCCUAAAUACGGGUAAUUAGCAUCAGUUUAUCGCACUUCUGCAUAUUUCUUCUACUCUCCAAACACGCGGGCUUCCAUUGGCUGCCAUUCUGCUACAGGAGAUUAUGAAGACAGAUUGCAGAGAACGCAUGUGCUAAACGAGAUUAGGAAGGAAUAGAAAUAGCAACUUGGCCAAUAAAUUCCUCGUGAGAGCCUUAUCAUGCAAUUACACGUUGACUAGCUUCACACUCUCCCGGCCUCUUAAUCCAGUGCCCCCACCAGGAAUAAAAUUUCACUAAUUUCUGAAUUGCUGCAGAUCCUCCUGACUUGUUACUGAGAGCGGUUGGGAGACGAGGUUCUGCCGAACACGUCGCGUCGAACUUCACCAUAAAAAAGUAAACUUUGAAUGUCAAGGUGAUUCCUACAGGGAUUUACUGAGUAGAGGGUCUCGUGAGCAAUCCAGAGAAAGGGUUCUAGGUUUCCUUUCCGAAGGUUCCUCACGGGCCACAUUCAGAGAUGGACCAGGCAGCCUCCAUGCAGUUGGCAGGCAUCUGUGCCUCUUCCACGGGAACACUCUGUGCACUGUUCUAGAGCCUGGUUUUGCUGCACAAGGAAGAGCCCUGGCAAGAUGAACAACCACCCAGAAUGCAGAGGGAAGCUUUCACUCAUCUGGAGUACGGGAGAAUGAGCCACGGCCUGUGAGGCACAUGGUGAUACUUGUCUGAAGGAGUUGACUCUAAGAAACCACAGCACAGAUGCCUGAAGCAGAGAGACAAACAGCUGCAGUGGCUGCCCCCCCCCCCCCCCUUGCAGGCACCUCUGUCUCUGGAGUCACCAAGAACAGCACAGAGUCUUGGAAGUUGGAGUGCUACCUCCUUGCUCCUCUGACACCUGUUGCUGAGGGGCCAGGAUAGCCGGGGCCCUGCUGGGCCGGUGUAGAAGGAGUAAGGUGGUUAGUGGUGUUUCCUCUCUGGAGCCUUCAGGCUAGAUUGGGAGUUCUGUGCGGCUUCAUCCACAGCUCUGCUCAAGCCGAGAUGCUCUUCAACUACUAGGCCUAAGGCACACGUGGCCGCUGGAGCUCAGCUCAGCAACUGAGACUGAAGGACCCUCCGGAGCCCCAGAAGACCCCCGCCCGGGGAGUGACAUCAGUUGGGGAGCUAUUAAUAACUGCCCUCCCCUCCCUGUCAUAUUUCCUGAACUGUGUGGGGAAGGCGAUUGUGAGGCGCUCUGCUGGAAUUUGGCAGCGCGGAGGCUUGGAGAGCAGCCCCAUGCUGGCUCCUAUUCAGCCGGCCAGUUUUCCUCGAGCUUUGGAAGUUUCGCUCAGCCGUGCACUCAAUGGCUUCACAAAGCUGAUUACAAGCUUCAGCGCAUUCCUGAAGGAGCCAAAAGCGACGCAGGUGCAAACGAGCCGAGGGAGCCCCUUAUCCCGGUGACAGAAUGGGACAAGCUGGGAAAGGCUUGGACCACACAAAUCCAAGGCUCACCAGGCAGCAGAGAGCCUGCCUUGGGAACCGGGGGUCAUUAUCCGCCCUAUUCAGCGGGGCCGGGGACCCCGGGGCCGGGUAGGCCGGCCGGGCGCAAGCACCACCGCCAGUGUGCGCCAACGGCAGUGGGGACCCCGCUGGGCGCUGCAGCCCAUCGGGAUGUUGGGCGCUGUGUUUGUUCUCACCGACAGCAGUCCGCGAAAUCUACCUUGUUCCUGAAAGCUGGUGUCCACGCUAAGGGGAUACAGGAGAACCAGGGUGGCGAAGAUGCGCUGUGCGUCGACAGCACGUAACUUCGGUUGUUGAGGGCGCACUGGCCUGUGCCUGUCGCAGGCCGCUCUCAGCUCCCCCUCACCCCCCGCCCCAAGUCUUGGAACCCCCAUCCCCUCGCCCUCAGCUCUUCGUUUUUCCUCUCUGCAAAGCCUACGGAGAGCGAGCUCCACAAAGUGCGGUGGGAGGGGCAGUGGCCCGGAAGGGGUGGAUCACCAGGUGGUCCGGUGCACCUAGCAGGGCAGUGGAGAACGCGGAGCCACGUCUAGGGUAGUUAAAUCACAUCCCUGCCAGCGACGAAAGGACUACCGGCCGCGAUGACAGGCUGGCUCGGCGCCGUAGAGCUUGCAGAAGGGACAAGCGUGGGACAGACUGAAGUGGGACCGCUGGAGUUCAGGGGCGGGCUAAUCCGACCCUGUGGGCAGCCCCUUCCCACCGCAUCCAGUCUCCAUCGCAGUCACUUAUCUGGAAACCUGCGGCUGGAUUAAUCGCUAUAUUCCCAAGAUGAGCGGUGCGGCAAUCCGCAGUGUAACUCGGGUGGGAACUCGAAAGCAUCAUGCCCCCAGGCUCUCCCGGUGCCAGCAGCCGGCCAGCUCCCUGCAGAUCUGAAUGCCGCACCGUUGCUAGCACCUGUUUGGAUUCGGGUGGGGAUGAGCAGGCACAGAGGCGCACAGAGGAUGUGGGGGAGGAGAAGGAGACAGACCUGUGGGGACCCCGGCCUGCGAGAGGCACAAAACUGCCUGUGGGAAUAAAGCCUUUUGACCGGACAGAAAUGAUGCUGUAGACACUUCAGACCGUGGCCUAUUUAGAUGCAGAAAUAUGCUCCCAUCUUGAUCUUCCAACCUCACCUCUACCCCACCCGCCUCUGCGUCUUAGGCCCCUCCCCUGGAAUUUCCUCUUUGUGAGUCCUGGUUCUCUAAGAAAAGAACUGGCAAUAUUUAGGAACUGUGGGCGUGGAAAUAAAUCCUUGUUUUCCAGCCCCUCAUCCUACCUACUGGAGUUGAAGGUGGUGGGCUAUGGUACCAAAGCUCCAGAGAGGAAGCAUGUGCCUACAAAAACUUUCUCAGCUGAGGUCAAAACAUCAGCUUCGCGGGAAAAAUCAUUUUGGUGCCCGAGGUGCUGUGCCGGGGCGACUUCUCUGGAAGUGUCAAAACCCAUUGCCAGUUUGUGAAAACCAGCACUGCCUCUGGUCUGACUGGCUGGCUAGUCACUUGGAGGUAAACCCUCUGCUGUGGAGUAUUUUCACAUCUCGGCUUUGCCACCCCGCCCCCACCCCCACCUUGGUGUCAAUUUUUCAAGAUGUCAUUUCAGGAGAAGAGGAAAUUCCAUUUCACACUGUGACAGCCUUGGGCCUCCGUUUCGGCAGCAUAGUAAGUUCUACAUGGAACAUACGUUCCAAGAGUGAACACCCAUUGGUCCGUCACAUUUUUAGAUUGUUAGAGACGAAGGGGUACCCCGGGGAUGCUCCCCGAACUGGGCCCUGCAAGAUCCUCUUAAAAGUCAGUUUUCCCCUCCACCGACAGUGGGAGGAAAUCUUCAGAAGCGAGCACGUGACUCCCUGCAAACUAGCUCAAGCCGGGGUUCCCAGGACAGCUCCUCCUCAUGCCCUUUGGACGUCAGCCCACUGUGGCUCUCACCUGAGUCCUGUCACCUCUGCCAUCUCGAAGUGAUCUGUGGACAAUGCUGAGCAGGACAGCCCCUGGUCAACCAGGCAGAACAGUCUAUGCAAAUGUUGGAGGCCUGCCCUGGGAACAGUGCGCCCAUUGUCCAGGGCCUUUCAGAGCCGGGAGCAGCUGCUCAGACUUGCCGCCCCGGACCCGUGGCUGCCACAGUCAUGUCAUCCUUGCAAGACAUCAGACUCUGAAAAUUAUACGACCCGAAUUCAUGAGCAGCCUUCUCUUGAGUGUUUCUGUCUGUGACAAGUUGCAAAGUCCAAAGCUGCUUCUGUUGUUGGGGACAGGAGGAGGGUGUAGGCAGGAGCAAGUCUGCGGUUGCUUCUUACUAGAGGAUUUGAAAACUUUACAAACUGUCCCUGGGCUUCUGAAGAGGGGCGGAGGGGGGGGUGUCUGGCUUGAACAACUGCGAAUUUGAGGCUUUUCUGUCUUCUCUUGCUGCUCUUGUAAGUUUAGAUGCGUGGAGAGGAGUCAGGAUGAGGAGAUGGAGCAGGCCUGCCUGCCUGCCUGCCUGCCUGCCACAGGUGCUGACCUCCUUUUCAUUGGCUUCAACCCAAGCUGUACUUUCUAGAGAAGCAAGCAGGCUGACUGACUCAACACUCUCAAACCACCUCAACUCUGAGUCCCUUCAGAGGGGGACCCAGGGGCUCAUGUAAUCCACAUCCAUCCAUCCUCUCUCCCUGCCCCCGCCCCCCAAACCAGGACAGGAAAGGAUGCUCUUGGGCCAGAGGUUGGUGGUUCCUGGGGUGGUAAGUGAGCAUGGGGACCCAGUACUGGGUGGCCUAUAGUUACCUUCUGCCAGAACCUGGGAGUACAUCCCUCUAGUCUCCAGGCACCCAGCCUAAUGGGGAGGAAUUUCAGGGAUACUGAGGAGGCCCAAAGGUCCAGGUAAGGCGGCUUCCACCUCUCCUUCAAUAACUGGUCCCAGGGACCUCUAGUGUGCAGUGUGUUGCAUUUUCAUUUUCUUUCUUUCUUUCUUUCUUUCUUUCUUUCUUUCUUUCUUUCUUUCUUUCUUUCUUUCUUUCUUUUUUUCUUUCUUUCUUUUUUUCUUUCUUUCUUUUUUUGUUUUUUGUUUGUUUGUUUUGUUUUGAGACCAGGCCUUACUCUGUAAUUCAAGCUGGCCUAGAACGCAGUGCAAUCCACCUGUCUCAGCCUACUGAAUGUUAGUGUCACAGGCCUAAGGCAUCCUGCUCUGUUGACAUGUUCCCUGCCUCCUCACAGGACUUUGCUGCUGUUCUCUCUCUGCCUUCUGCCUGGGUGGAGCAAGUUCCCAGUAAACACCAGAAAACCACCAGACCGAUUCUAGAGGGAUCAGCCCCAAGAUAGAAAGGUUGCAGAGCAUGUCCUCCUGCACUGACUGAGUACGGCCUCUCCGUGUACCCAACCCUACCAAGGAGCUUUCUCAAUUCUUGAUAGCCUGAAUGGGGAGGGCUUGAAUACAUGUAAAGUUCAACAAAAUAUUGUUUUAUAAACACAAGAGAAAUGGUGGAAAAAUAAGUGGAGAAGAGAUCCUGUAGACCAUGAGGCUUAUUGAUUUGGGUUGGAGUCUCUGGGCAUUCCAGGCUGCCCAAAACCAGGGAGACUAGGGCAGCCAUGGACACCACUGUCAUGGGGAGGCCAGCAUGAUAUAAAAUGCAUGGACAAGGUGGGCUCUCGGUAUGUGGCAGUACCUGGCCCAUGCACACAGGCACACACAGGUGCCAGACAUCGACCUUUAGAUUCACAAGUGCCUGACUCCCACUCAAGCACAGGGCAUUCCCCAGCUCCACAACUGUGUUCCAGGUGAACCCUGGAUGGUUCAUCGGGACUCAGUACCUGACCUCCAGGCUGCAGAACUUGAAGAACCCUGGGCUAGGCACACAGGGCAGAGUGAAUGAGUCCAAGGGUCUUUCCUUCUGUCCUUUCAGGAUCUGAUUUUGUCCUAGAACUUGACUGGCCUGUCAGAUUGUUUCCUGUCCUUCCUGAUUUGCCCUCUCCAUCUGUAUUUAUUCUGGGUUUGCCCUCAGAAUGCCAUACAGACUCCAUGUUAUUCAGGAUGGUAGCUGGCCACCCCGCAUUCAGUCCCUAAGCACCCAAAAUUCAGAAUAUCACACACCCUGGAUUUAAAGAUUUGGAAUGAGAAAGAGCUCACUGACUGUUUGUGAUGUUGGCUACAGAAAUGGCUGUGCGUGAGAUGUGUUGAAUUAAAUAAAAGGCAUUAUUAAGGUGAGCGUCACUGGCCACUGCACUUGGAAGUCAAUGUGGCUUUAGUAACUCUCCUUCACUGGCUCUGUGUCCUUUGCCGGCUGCCUUUGGUCUUCCCAGGAUCCUUUAGGAAAUGGAAAAGGAAGAAGUGGGGAAAAGAUCUGGGCCUGAAACCCAGCAGGGGGCAGCUGGAGCUCCUCCCAGUUCUUUUCAAAGUUAUUCUUACAACAAUCAAAGCUUCCUUGUUUUCAGGACCAGGCAAGAGAGCCUCAUACUGUAUUUAUUGCUUAAAUCAUAUUCUUUCUAUUUUAGCUUUAAUUCGGUUUAGUUACAUUGAGAUCUCAGCCAGCAAUCCAUGAACCCUGCAGCAACUUUUGAAGAAUCUUGAUGCUAAUGCUGGAUGGUGGAGGAAUACUGAUUCUAGGAGUCACUCUGUGGGUUCUAUGGCAUUAUAAGGAAACUCUCUGCUAUUUCCAAACUUCUAGUCAGCAGUUGACACUUCUGACUUUAAAUUUUUCCUGCAAAUGUAUCACCAGGUCUAACUCAAAUAAAACAAGAAUUCUGAACAGCAAUUUGCCUUCUGUGAAAAAGGUCUAUCACAACCAGGAAUGAGUUCCUUCUAGAAAUUCUUUUCUUGGCUAACUUGAAGUUUUAGAACUGUAUGAAAUCAGACAUGGUCCAAGGAGGCCACAAGGAAACAUGUUUAUAAACUUUUAUUUUUCAUUUAUUCAUUUUUUUGGGAGGCGUACAUGCCAUGGUACACAUGGAGAUCAGAGGAUAAUUUUCAGCGGUCAUUUCUCUUCUUCCCACUGUGGGUCCCAGGGAUCUAACUGAAUUCAUCAGGCUUGGCAUCAAGUGCCUUUAUAUGCUGAACCAUCUUGCUAGUCCUAGUAAACUUUAAUGCUAAAGAUAUUAAACUUCCAUAUAAUAUUUUAGAUACUAGAUGUCUGGAAGUAAACUUGUGAAAACUAGAGAUUUUGUUUUGUCAUUUGGUAAUAACAAAUGAAAAAAAACUGCUCCAAGCUUAUUGUCUAUAAUAUAUUCUACUAAAGUACACCAUGAAAAUUUUACAUGCAUAAGGCUUGGAGUAUGUACAAUAUAUUCAAUAUAUUUAUUUUGGGGGUUGUAUAAUCAAUAUCAAACAAUUCAGGAAAAUGUGAAGUUAAGUCCACUAUGCCAAUAACUGGAAAUAUCUCAGAGAUGAUUUGAAUAAAAUUAAAAUUAUUCUUCAUCAUAAAAGGA